GACGAACGCUGGCGGCGUGCUUAACACAUGCAAGUCGAACGGAAAGGCCCUGCUUUUGUGGGGUGCUCGAGUGGCGAACGGGUGAGUAACACGUGAGUAACCUGCCCUUGACUUUGGGAUAACUUCAGGAAACUGGGGCUAAUACCGGAUAGGAGCUCCUGCUGCAUGGUGGGGGUUGGAAAGUUUCGGCGGUUGGGGAUGGACUCGCGGCUUAUCAGCUUGUUGGUGGGGUAGUGGCUUACCAAGGCUUUGACGGGUAGCCGGCCUGAGAGGGUGACCGGCCACAUUGGGACUGAGAUACGGACCAGACUCCUACGUGAGGCAGUAGGGGGGAAUAUUGCACAAUGGGCGGAAGCCUGAUGCAGCAACGCCGCGUGCGGGAUGACGGCCUUCGGGUUGUAAACCGCUUUCGCCUGUGACGAAGCGUGAGUGACGGUAAUGGGUAAAGAAGCACCGGCUAACUACGUG
rnacentral:rRNA from 1 species